GCGGAAAACAAAAGGAAGGAGCAGCAGCUGGUAGCACCCAGGGCGGUGCAAUUAAACAAGAAAAUGUCCGCUGUUUUAAUUGCUUCGCGUACGGGCAUUUCCAAAGCGCCUGUACGGCACCCAGACGCCAUCCAAAUGCUUGCUUUGUGUGCAAUGAAGUAGGGCACACUCGAUUCGAUUGCCCGGAAAAGAAGACCAGAGGAGUAGCGGCGGCCGUGACAGCAGUAGAAGCAGCAGACGAAAAUCUGGAAGAUCGUCUAGUACGUAGAGUAGUGGAGCAACUUACUGCAAAAAAUUGGUCCGGUUAGCUUUGUGCGGAAGUCCUGUGUGCCUUCUGGCUUUAUUAAUAAA